rnacentral:rRNA from 1 species
ACGAACGCUGGCGGCGUGCCUAAUACAUGCAAGUAGAACGCUGAAGAGAGGAGCUUGCUCUUCUUGGAUGAGUUGCGAACGGGUGAGUAACGCGUAGGUAACCUGCCUUGUAGCGGGGGAUAACUAUUGGAAACGAUAGCUAAUACCGCAUAACAAUGGAUGACACAUGUCAUUUAUUUGAAAGGGGCAAUUGUUCCACUACAAGAUGGACCUGCGUUGUAUUAGCUAGUAGGUGAGGUAAUGGCUCACCUAGGCGACGAUACAUAGCCGACCUGAGAGGGUGAUCGGCCACACUGGGACUGAGACACGGCCCAGACUCCUACGGGAGGCAGCAGUAGGGAAUCUUCGGCAAUGGGGGCAACCCUGACCGAGCAACGCCGCGUGAGUGAAGAAGGUUUUCGGAUCGUAAAGCUCUGUUGUAAGUCAAGAACGGGUGUGAGAGUGGAAAGUUCACACUGUGACGGUAGCUUACCAGAAAGGGACGGCUAACUACGUGCCAGCAGCCGCGGUAAUACGUAGGUCCCGAGCGUUGUCCGGAUUUAUUGGGCGUAAAGCGAGCGCAGGCGGUUUGAUAAGUCUGAAGUUAAAGGCUGUGGCUCAACCAUAGUUCGCUUUGGAAACUGUCAAACUUGAGUGCAGAAGGGGAGAGUGGAAUUCCAUGUGUAGCGGUGAAAUGCGUAGAUAUAUGGAGGAACACCGGUGGCGAAAGCGGCUCUCUGGUCUGUAACUGACGCUGAGGCUCGAAAGCGUGGGGAGCGAACAGGAUUAGAUACCCUGGUAGUCCACGCCGUAAACGAUGAGUGCUAGGUGUUGGAUCCUUUCCGGGAUUCAGUGCCGCAGCUAACGCAUUAAGCACUCCGCCUGGGGAGUACGACCGCAAGGUUGAAACUCAAAGGAAUUGACGGGGGCCCGCACAAGCGGUGGAGCAUGUGGUUUAAUUCGAAGCAACGCGAAGAACCUUACCAGGUCUUGACAUCCCGAUGCUAUUUCUAGAGAUAGAAAGUUACUUCGGUACAUCGGUGACAGGUGGUGCAUGGUUGUCGUCAGCUCGUGUCGUGAGAUGUUGGGUUAAGUCCCGCAACGAGCGCAACCCCUAUUGUUAGUUGCCAUCAUUCAGUUGGGCACUCUAGCGAGACUGCCGGUAAUAAACCGGAGGAAGGUGGGGAUGACGUCAAAUCAUCAUGCCCCUUAUGACCUGGGCUACACACGUGCUACAAUGGUUGGUACAACGAGUUGCGAGUCGGUGACGGCGAGCUAAUCUCUUAAAGCCAAUCUCAGUUCGGAUUGUAGGCUGCAACUCGCCUACAUGAAGUCGGAAUCGCUAGUAAUCGCGGAUCAGCACGCCGCGGUGAGUACGUUCCCGGGCCUUGUACACACCGCCCGUCACACCACGAGAGUUUGUAACACCCGAAGUCGGUGAGGUAACCUUUUGGAGCCAGCCGCCUAAGGUGGGACAGAUGAUUGGGGUG